ACUGAACGCUGGCGGCAUGCUUUACACAUGCAAGUCGAACGGUAACAGGCCGCAAGGUGCUGACGAGUGGCGAACGGGUGAGUAAUGCAUCGGAACGUGCCCAGUCGUGGGGGAUAACGCAGCGAAAGCUGUGCUAAUACCGCAUACGAUCUAUGGAUGAAAGCGGGGGACCGUAAGGCCUCGCGCGAUUGGAGCGGCCGAUGUCAGAUUAGCUAGUUGGUGGGGUAAAGGCCCACCAAGGCGACGAUCUGUAGCUGGUCUGAGAGGACGACCAGCCACACUGGGACUGAGACACGGCCCAGACUCCUACGGGAGGCAGCAGUGGCGAAUUUUGGACAAUGGGCGCAAGCCUGAUCCAGCAAUGCCGCGUGCAGGAAGAAGGCCUUCGGGUUGUAAACUGCUUUUGUACGGAACGAAACGGUCUGGGUUAAUACCCUGGGCUAAUGACGGUACCGUAAGAAUAAGCACCGGCUAACUACGUGCCAGCCGCCGCCGUAACAC
rnacentral:rRNA from 1 species